GGACAUGUUGCCUAAAAUUGCCCUGCUGAACCUGUGUAGGCAGCACAGCCAUUAUCUGUCCCUUCAACAAAACCUCCUAUUAUCUGUCCAGAGUGUAGAUGAGGAGAUCGUGGCCCCCGUGCAAGGGCUUGAUGUUUACAAGCUGCUGUAGGCCAUGAUGAUCAUGGUGAGUGGAGGGGACAAAAGCCCAGCAGGUCCUGCCUCCUGUGUGCUGUAUCGUGAAUUCCACUGGGCCCGCUGAAUUUUUAGACUGCUGGCCCACCAUGCAUGCCAUGAUACUCGUGCUGCACUCGGCUUGAGCCCUGGGAGCUGCAACAACUUUCUGUAAAAAAGAAAGAAGAAAGAAAAAAAUGGCAGCCAAGACUACAGAGGCUGGGGAAACCCCAGGGUUGGGGCACUGGAGAUGGAGCCCUGGUGCCAAACAGGAGUUCCAGGAUCUUGAAAACAGGAGAAUGCUGAAGCUGCCUGUCUGGGUGCCAGAGCAUGCUGUCUGGCUGUAUCAUGGAUCCGGACCUGGAGACCUAGUUGAUUCUACUUUUCAAGAAACUGAUGCUCAGCACUAUGACAGUGGUGGCUGGGUGACCACACCAUAACUGACAGACAAGAAUGGGGCUUGAUCCAACCUCAGGACAAUUGAAGGAACUGGCCCAGGGUGCCCAGGAGAUGACAACCAAAAGUGGGAAUCAAAGGUCUGAAUAGGUAAUACAGUGCAUGGAGAUAAUUGAGGAGAAAUUUACAUGAAAGAGGGGGACACAAAAAUUACCAUUAUUAUGCCAGAGAUUUAGCUCAAUGGCAUAAGGGCCUGCCUGGCAGGUGCAAGGUCAUGAGUUCGAUCCCUGGUACCAAAAAAAAAAAAAAAAAAAAAAAAAAAAAAAAAAGUCAGAAAA